UACGUAGGGGGCAAGCGUUGUCCGGAAUCAUUGGGCGUAAAGAGCGUGUAGGCGGCUUGGCAAGUCUGACGUGAAAGCCCGCGGCUCAACCGCGGAUUGUCGUUGGAAACUGCCUCGCUAGAGUCCGGAAGAGGAGAGCGGAAUUCCUGGUGUAGCGGUGGAAUGCGCAGAUAUCAGGAAGAACACCCGUGGCGAAGGCGGCUUUCUGGGACGGUACUGACGGCUGAGACGCGAAAGCGUGGGGAGCGAACAGG
rnacentral:rRNA from 1 species